rfam:Gossypium arboreum cultivar AKA8401 contig_10116_7, whole genome shotgun sequence.
AAUCUAUGCAUCGGACAUUUCUAAAUUAACUCCUUAAAUUGUUCCCAAGCUUCAUAUAGCGUCUCAUCCUCCAUCUGCCGAAAAGACAUAAUAUCAUUUCUCAACUU